rnacentral:rRNA from 1 species
CAGGGUGACAGGUGGUGCAUGGUUGUCGUCAGCUCGUGUCGUGAGAUGUUCGGGUUAAGUCCCGCAACGAGCGCAACCCUCGACCUUAGUUGCCAGCAUUCAGUUGGGCACUCUAAGGUGACUGCCGGCUAAAAAGUCGGAGGAAGGUGGGGAUGACGUCAAAUCAUCAUGCCCCUUAUGACCUGGGCUACACACGUGCUACAAUGGGCGGUACAAAGGGUCGCGAACCCGCGAGGGGGAGCCAAUCCCAAAAAGCCGCUCUCAGUUCGGAUUGCAGGCUGCAACUCGCCUGCAUGAAGCCGGAAUCGCUAGUAAUCGCAGGUCAGCAUACUGCGGUGAAUACGUUCCCGGGCCUU